rnacentral:rRNA from 1 species
AGUAUAAGCAAUUAUACCGUGAAACUGCGAAUGGCUCAUUAAAUCAGUUAUCGUUUAUUUGAUAGUACCUUACUACUUGGAUACCCGUGGUAAUUCUAGAGCUAAUACAUGCAAAAAACCCCGACUUCGGGAGGGGUGUAUUUAUUAGAUAAAAAACCAAUGCCCUUCGGGGCUCUUUGGUGAUUCAUGAUAACUUAACGGAUCGCAUGGCCUUGCGCCGGCGACGGUUCAUUCAAAUUUCUGCCCUAUCAACUUUCGAUGGUAAGGUAUUGGCUUACCAUGGUUUCAACGGGUAACGGAUUUUUAGGGAAAGAUCCCGGAGAGGGAGCCUGAGAAACGGCUACCACAUCCAAGGAAGGCAGCAGGCGCGCAAAUUACCCAAUCCCGACACGGGGAGGUAGUGACAAUAAAUACUGAUACAGGGCUCUUUUGGGUCUUGUAAUCGGAAUGAGUACAAUUUAAAUACCUUAACGAGGAACAAUUGGAGGGCAAGUCUGGUGCCAGCAGCCGCGGUAAUUCCAGCUCCAAUAGCGUAUAUUAAAGUUGUUGCAGUUAAAAAGCUCGUAGUUGAACCUUGGGCCUGGCUGGCCGGUCCGCCUCACCGCGUGUACUGGUCCGGCCGGGCCUUUCCUUCUGGAGAACCCCAUGCCCUUCACUGGGCGUGGCGGGGAACCAGGACUUUUACUUUGAGAAAAUUAGAGUGUUCAAAGCAGGCCUUUGCUCGAAUACGUUAGCAUGGAAUAAUAGAAUAGGACGUGUGGUUCUAUUUUGUUGGUUUCUAGAACCGCCGUAAUGAUUAAUAGGGAUAGUCGGGGGCGUCAGUAUUCAAUUGUCAGAGGUGAAAUUCUUGGAUCUAUUGAAGACUAACUACUGCGAAAGCAUUCGCCAAGGAUGUUUUCAUUAAUCAGUGAACGAAAGUUAGGGGAUCGAAGACGAUCAGAUACCGUCGUAGUCUUAACCGUAAACUAUGCCGACUAGGGAUCGGGCGAUGUUUCUAUCUUGACUCGCUCGGCACCUUACGAGAAAUCA